UCCAGGUGGUGGCAGAGGAAAGAGGCGCUUUCCUUCAGCAAACCCUCUUCCUGCCAGGCGGUCCAAACCAUUUGAGCUAGCUUUCUAUUUGUUGCCAAACAAUGUGACAAAACCCCAAAAGAGCAGGAGGAAAAUAGUGCAUCUGCAGGCAGGACUGGCCGUAGAACUGCUCAUCUAAAUGAGAGCACAACACGUGAAGAGUUAUGUGAUGCCCUCAGAGUUUUAUUCCCAAGGUUGGGGACGGUCACUGGUGGGUGGCUACUAUACAAAUCUUCAGGUGGAUGGGGGAGCCGGCAGCUGUCUCUUGUGGCUCCUGAUGAGAGUGGCUAUACAGGAAUAAUGUUGAAGUCUGUAACUCGUUGGGGGAAAAAUCUAUUCAUUGCCCCUAUUCAAGAAGAACUCAGUACAAAUCCUCUGCCACUAACUGAUGAAGCAUUCAGGAACAUGCCAAAAGACACAUGUCAGAAGUGUGAAGUAGCAGUUCCUCUUCCGCUCCUGACAGAACACAUCAAGACUUGUAAUGGCUUGGAUGUUAGCAGUGACAGUACCCUGGACAAUGUGGACACCAGUGAAACUAAAGAGAGAAAAUGUGCUUCUUCAGCGUAUAUGGCCUCGUGAGGAAGACAGCGACGAUGACGACUGUUCUGUGGAAAUCAGAUGCCGGAUGUCAAGCUAUCUACAUCAGUUCAUAGCUAAUGCAACACCAGCUGAACUGACCAGCCUCGUCAAAUUCUGGACUGGAUGGGAGGUUCUCCCUCCAAGUCUCUCAGUGCAAGUCAUCAAUGGCAGCUAUCCCACAGCUUCCACCUGCUUUGAGACCAUUCGCAUCCUAGGGCAUUACAAGGAUUACACAUCCUUUAAAAAUGACAUCCUGUCCUGUAUCUGCACUUGCCACACAGGAUUUGGUCUUGUGUGAUUGACAUUUGGGUCUGUGUUUACACUCAGUAGUUCUGUAAAAUGGUGACGUGUUGUUGAAACAAUAUUCCAAGUUAUCAAAAGAUGGGCUUACACUUCUUUUAAUAUCAGUGUUAUACAGUUGAGGGUUCUUUGCUGCUUAAAAUUGUGUUUAAAAUGCACUGUAUUUGAGUACUGAUUAUACUGAAUGGAAUGAAAAUUUUCAAAAACAUGAACAUGUAAACUCAAAAUCUGAAUUCUUUCUGAUUCUGUGUCAGGAUGUGAGUUUUUGGCUGGUUUUGUUUUCAUGCUUCUGCCACAUUUCUGUUGUUUAUAGGCUUACUUUCUUGCUGGGGUUUUUUUUUCCUGCUUGGGUUUAUCUGUCCCUGUCUCUCCUGUUUCUUGGUGGUGGGCGUUGCCUCUCUCUGGCUACACCCUCAUUCAUGUGCAUUCCACGCACACCUGCUCCCAUCACCUGGGUGUAUUUAAGCUCCUCAUUUUGCCCUGCUCCCUCACCAGAUUGAUGCGCCCUGUGCCUUCUCUCAAGCUCUGUUUUUGUGUAUUUUUGACCUGCUUGCCUCUCGUGUUUUGACCACCUGCCUGUAUUAUUGACCACGUCUAAGCCUGGUAUUCCAUGUACUUUUGCUCUUGUUGGACUGCCUUUUUCUGU